rnacentral:lncRNA from 12 species
UGACCUUGAAAAGUCUCCGUAAGCCUUACUUUUCGCAAUUUCUAAAUAGGAACACGUGUGGUAAAACACUUCGGUAAAUCUAAAUGGUGUGAUGUGUUUUAAAUUUGGAACUGUUAGCCUAAUAUAGUAUGUGGUUUAUCUCAAGUGAAGAUCCCAGCCACCCUUACAGCACCAGAUUCUUCUUCCUUUCUUAGGAAAAGAGAGACAAGGCCUUGAAAUAGAAAUUUUUAUUUGAAUAUUUACUUGGGACUAAAUCAAGGAUGGAGCCAUCUUCUCUAAGACUCUUCAUUUAGACCAAGUGUGAAUGGUGAGGUAGAGAGAGAGUCCUUCUUCACUCCAGCUCUGCAAUAACACCGCGGACUACCAAAAGGAUGACUGCAAGAGACACCACGACUUCUAGAAUGACCUGCUGGAUAUGUAUUCUUAUUCUUCCAGAAGCUGUGUGUGGCCAUGACAAUGUGAAUGGAGGGACUGGCUUCACCAAAUCAUUCACUCUACCCAGCUCAGGAAAAGGACAAUGCAGGAGAGACAACAAUCAGAAAGACUUGGCACUAACCAUAUACUUCUCUCACCUGUCGUAGUCACGACAAGUCUGAUCUUGGCCUCUACACUGCAAUUUUUUGAGGACUGAGAACAGGUAUUAAUUUCCCCAUGCCUCUUCUCACAGCCUGUGCAAUGCCUCACAUACUGUGAGUAGGUACACACAAGUAUUUGUUGUAUGAAAAAAUGCCUACAAUUUGCAGGUCUUACUGUGUCAUGUUGUGUCUACUCUCCUAUAUUUCCAACAGUAGAAGCUUGGAGUGCAUUUCCAAGAAUCCCUACCACCACCCGAAUCUUGGUUAGACUCCACCAAUGAAAAUUACCUGCUCAAUACUUGAAAAAAGAAGCCAAGAAGGAGCCGCUAUUGCUCUUGUGGCAGCAAAGGAUAUGUGUGAAAGCUUCUGAACAUCCUAUCGAAAAUCAUCUAGUUUGGCGCUAUAGAUAGCCAUGACCAUCCAUAGUGGAUGCCUGCAGCUCCUUCACUUUCUAAUAUCCUAAAAUCCAGCAGUGGCUUUCCUUGAACACUUCCAUAGUCCUUCCAACAGUCAUAGAAGUUCUAAAUCCCUGUAACGAAUUCCUUACCCUUAAAAUUUCUAGAGUAAUUGCUCUUUUCCUAAAUAGUGACUAAUACACGUUAUUUCCCUCACUUAUCAUUCCUAUUGUGUCUCUAUUAUGAAAAAAACUCUUUAACAGUUUUGAAAAUUCUUUCCGGAAUGUGAGCCGAAUUAGCAGUGGAGGAAAUGUCAGCAACCUCCAAUUCCAAUUAUGCAUUAGGACUCAUCUUAUUUGUUUCCCUUAUCUCAAAAUCAUAUUACUUCACUGCCUAUUAUCCAAUCUCUGCAAACAAAUGUUUUCAUAUGUUUUAUUUAUUUUUCUAGUUGUUUAAUAUGGGAGGGCAAAUUGAGUCACAGUUAUCCUGUCAUAGUCAGAAAUGGGAUUCCCUAGUUUAUAUUUUGGAGAAUUGAGUUCUCUUUAGAAGGGAAAAUCUCUCUCUCUCUCUCUCUCUCUCUCUCUCUCUCACACACAUCUUUCUCUAUCUCU